AUUGAACGCUGGCGGCAUGCUUUACACAUGCAAGUCGAACGGCAGCGGGGGAGAAGCUUGCUUUUCCUGCCGGCGAGUGGCGAACGGGUGAGUAAUACAUCGGAACGUGCCCUGUAGUGGGGGAUAACUAGUCGAAAGAUUAGCUAAUACCGCAUACGACCUGAGGGUGAAAGUGGGGGACCGCAAGGCCUCAUGCUAUAGGAGCGGCCGAUGUCUGAUUAGCUAGUUGGUAGGGUAAAGGCCUACCAAGGCGACGAUCAGUAGCUGGUCUGAGAGGACGAUCAGCCACACUGGGACUGAGACACGGCCCAGACUCCUACGGGAGGCAGCAGGGGGGAAUUUUGGACAAUGGGCGAAAGCCUGAUCCAGCAAUGCCGCGUGUGUGAAGAAGGCCUUCGGGUUGUAAAGCACUUUUGUCCGGAAAGAAAUGGCUCUGGUUAAUACCUGGGGUCGAUGACGGUACCGGAAGAAUAAGGACCGGCUAACUACGUGCCAGCCGCCGCAAUAA
rnacentral:rRNA from 1 species